UGUCCUUUGGUGUAAUGGUAGCACAACAGGUUUUGGUUCUGUUUGUAGUGGUUCGAAUCCGCUAAGGACAA
rnacentral:tRNA from 1 species